GCCCCACGAAGUCAGAUGCCCAGAGCCGACACCCCGCCUGGCCCCGUGAAUCCGGGUGCCCAGAGCCGACACCCCACCUGGCUCUGUGAAGCUGGGUCCCCAGAGCCUCUGGACUCCCCAGGGACCCCGCCGCACCCUUCAAACUUGGGCGCUGGGGUCCCAGCGACCCUGCCCCCACAGCCGUCUUGAGGGCAAAUGAAGCAGCCAGGAGACCCCAGAGACAUCAAGUAGGGUCCCCUCAGGGCUCCAAGGCCACAGGAGAAGGGAGCUGUGCCACCUGGAGCUGGGGUCACAUCCCAGGAAGGCUGCCAUGUGACCACACUUCCUUCCCCCGGGCUGUUGGGAGGGCUGCAUUCAGAUGUUUGUAAAAGGUGUGGCACGGCACCUGCCCACACAUGCUGCAGCCGUCACUGCUGGCCAGCACCGCGUCCUCCCCACCUCCUCGGUCAU
rnacentral:lncRNA from 1 species